rnacentral:rRNA from 1 species
UACGUAGGGUGCAAGCGUUGUCCGGAAUUAUUGGGCGUAAAGAGCUCGUAGGCGGUCUGUCGCGUCGAAUGUGAAAACCCGGGACUCAACUCCGGGCCUGCAUUCGAUACGGGCAGACUAGAGUUCGGUAGGGGAGACUGGAAUUCCUGGUGUAGCGGUGGAAUGCGCAGAUAUCAGGAGGAACACCGAUGGCGAAGGCAGAUCUCUGGGCCGUAACUGACGCUGAGGAGCGAAAGCAUGGGGAGCGAACAGG